GGGAUUCCGGCGACGGGCUGUGAGUUACUAAAUGUUUAGUACUUGUUCUUUCUCUAAACUAAAAAUCUUUCAGCUUAUGCUUAAGUUUUGUUCAAUUCCUUCAGGCUUAGAUUGUGGGUGCCUCUAGGAAUAGCUAACUGGGAAGCAAUGGACAUUGGGAGCAAAUUGGGAAUAGGGCGGCCCCUUAUUGCUGCUGCUGUGUCGAGUUUAAUCGCUCUGCGAUCGUGGCGCCACAAGUCUUUGUCUACGUCUGGGGCUUUGGCUGGUUUAAUGCUCCUCACGAUCUCUUUGACUGCCGGUCCGCGGUUUGGAGCGGUGAUACUCGCAUUCUUUUUCAGCUCUUCGCAGCUGACCAAAUACAGGUCAGAUGUGAAAAAGAGUAUAGAUGAAGAUUUCAAGGCGGGAGGCCAGCGUGACUGGUCACAGGUGCUUGCAAAUGCAUUAGUGGGAACGCUACUGUCAUUAGGUGUGGCAGUAUCAACGGGCUGGCAGGAUACAUGCUUGGAUUCGCAGAGAGCUCCGUUGGUAACAGCGAUGCUGGCUGGGGUUCUUGGUCACUAUGCGUGCUGCAACGGAGACACAUGGUCUUCGGAAUUGGGAGUACUAAGCAAAAUUCAGCCUCGACUCAUCACCUCGUUUAAGCCAGUGCCGCGGGGGACGAAUGGAGGUGUGUCUGUGUUAGGCACGGCUGCCGCAGCUGCCGGAGGAACGUUCAUAGGUUUAGUAUUUGUGCUGGUAGGAUUGUUUUCUACUCGCUGCGAAGGCCCAGUUUGGGGAAUGCAGUGGCUGGCUCUCCCACUGGGUACUCUGUGUGGCUUGCUUGGAAGCGUGCUGGAUUCAUUCCUUGGAGCCACUGUUCAAUUUAGUGGAAACUGCGUCGUUCGGAAGAAGGUGGUAGGAAAACCAGGCCCAACAGUGCAGAGGAUAGCGGGGCAUGAUCUCAUGAGCAACACUGGUGUCAAUUUUGUAUCUGCACUUGUCAUUGCUUUAGCUUCAGCGACAGCUUCUCUAUAUUUAUUCUGAUACUAAAACGAAAUUAGCGAUUCAUUCUGGAAAUUGUCUUGCAUCAGACGCCUGUAUAUUGAUCCUUAAGGAUUGCUGACCUACAUCCCAAGACCGUGGUUUGCGGUCUCACACGGUAACACCUGCUCACUGCAGACUCUAAGUCUGUUGAAAUCGUUUGCUGGUUGCGUAAUUGUGUCGAUUGGGUUUCUUCGUCGGGACCCACAUCUGGUCCCCUUUGCUGGCGCUGGUGUCGAAUUUAAAGCCAUUAUGAUUGAUCUCGGAAAUAAUUGUUGUAGUUCUGCUACACUGUAGAAGUGGUCUUCACUUCUUCAUGUUCCUGCGCUGCUUUGUCCUUCACUCCUUUGUAAGUUACCUAGCUUCAACUGUUGAAAACUUUCGAUUUCAUUGCUUGUCGAUUUUAGAUGGAUUUUUCGUUCAGUUUGGAGGUGUUUGUGGCGAGUCUUGAUUCGCUUGCUUUCAGUGAAGAAGAGGCCUUCAAUGAAUUCUCUGCAUCUUCACAUGAUGUUGCACAAUAUUCAGGCUAUAUGAAAAGGUUUUAGAGCUGCUUUUAAAUACCUGUAAAUCUUUGGUGAUUUAUAUCAGUAGUAUCUGUGCAAAAAGUCAGGAGCAAUCCUCCCCUAAAAUUGAGGAACUGCUGUCACCCAAGGUAGAUAAGUAGGGAUUAAACUAUGUAUUGUCAAUCGUGUUGCUUGUGGAUGAUUUCCUGAGGUUUGAUUUAGUUUGAAGGUGAGUAUGACAACUCUUGUAUUAAGUCAAUUACUCUAUAGUGAACAUGUUGGAUUUAGUGAUACAUUUUAAGACAAUAAAUUAAGGGUGUUGUUAAUGCCACUACAAUUUUCUAUUCA